rnacentral:rRNA from 1 species
CCCUUAGAUGUCCUGGGCCGCACGCGCGUUACACUGAUGCAUUCAACGAGCUUAUAACCUUGGCCGAGAGGCCUGGGCAAUCUUGUUAACGUGCAUCGUGAUAGGGAUAGAUUAUUGAAAUUAUUAAUCUUGAACGAGGAAUUCCUAGUAAACGCAGAUCAUCAAUCUGCAUUGAUUACGUCCCUGCCCUUUGUACACACCGCCCGUCGCACCUACCGAUUGGAUGGUCCGGUGAAGCCUCGGGAUUGUGGUUCUUGCCGCUUUAUUGUGGCGUGACCGCGAGAACUUGUCGAAACCUGAUCAUCUAGAGGAAGGUGAAGUCGUAACA